rnacentral:rRNA from 1 species
GACGAACGCUGGCGGCGUGCUUAACACAUGCAAGUCGAACGAUGAAGCUAGAGCUUGCUCUGGUGGAUUAGUGGCGAACGGGUGAGUAACACGUGAGUAACCUGCCCCGAACUCUGGGAUAACUGCUGGAAACGGUAGCUAAUACUGGAUACGACCAACGAAGGCAUCUUCUGUUGGUGGAAAGAAUUUCGGUUCGGGAUGGACUCGCGGCCUAUCAGCUUGUUGGUGAGGUAACGGCUCACCAAGGCGACGACGGGUAGCCGGCCUGAGAGGGUGAUCGGCCACACUGGGACUCAGGCACGGCCCAGACUCCUACGGGAGGCAGCAGUGGGGAAUAUUGCACAAUGGGCGCAAGCCUGAUGCAGCAACGCCGCGUGAGGGACGACGGCCUUCGGGUUGUAAACCUCUUUUAGUAGGGAAGAAGCGAAAGUGACGGUACCUGCAGAAAAAGCACCGGCUAACUACGUGCCAGCCGCCGCGGUAA